CACUUCUGCAAACACAAACACACAGUCACACACAGUUUCUCUUUGUAUACACCUAAACACCGGUCGGCGACGGUACACGGAAACUACUAACCACCGAUUGAUCGUCCGACGACUAAUUUCUCCUCCGGCAACUACUCCACCAGCUCAGCUAAAGGCAAAACCAUCUUCUUAUUCUUUCAUCUUGUGAGGCUUUUAUGUUUAUAAUAAUAAUAAUAAUUCUAGUAAAUUAAGAUAAAAGAUGGUGGUGUAAGCAGAGGAGCUCCGGCAACCAAUCUUUCUGUUUUUACAUCAGUGUGACGCAUGCCAAUUGUUUGGUGAAAUGCUUCAACGAAAAAUAGACAAAUAAUCAACAAAAAGGGUUUGGACAACCCUAAAGUCGUGACCCAAUAUCUCGAAAACAACUUCCAUUCAGCCGUGGUGACUAAAAGGAUCUAUUUGCACCAAGAAAUAGGCGCUGAUAUGCUUGCAGAUAGUGACUCCUUCCAAGCUGCAGCCCUACUGAUUGUAUAGUUUCUGGUCGGUUCAUACUCAUAGAUCAAAUCUUUGCGGGACCCGAGCAUGGUUCGUACAAAACUUUGGAAGGUGAUUCAUGUAGCAGUUGGUUGAAUGAUGGACUAAGAUUUAGAAAAAAGUACAAGUUAGUGAUGUAGUCGAGUCACUGAAGCAGUGGUUGGUGCUGAUGAUGCUCGUUCCGAGAUUGAAGUUUCAGUUCUUCGAGAAAGUGGCCAUGCUGUUGAUGCUGUUGUGGUCGCUGCUUUAUGUCUCGGGGUUGUGAAUCCUAAUGGUGUUGGGGGAUGGCGAUUUCAUGGUGGUUCGGUCUGCUGAUACAUCAGAAAAGCUAGCAAAAGAUGUGUUCUUGGUCACACCUUAUCUUGCCAAUAAAAUUUUAAGCAUUGCUAAGAAGGAUCUUGGUUUGCAACAGGUGUUUGCUCCAAAAUGGGGAGCUUUUAAUAGCUGGAGAUAUUUGCUAUAACCAGAAGCUCGGCUAGAGCUUAGAAUUUGUUGCAAAUGAAGGACCCAACGCGUUUUAUGAUGGUGUGAUAGCGGAGAAUCUGGUUUAAGACGUUCAAGAUGCAUUUGGGAUUUUGCAAUGGAAGAUUUGAGGAACUAUAAUGUUGAUGUUAUGGAUGCGCUUGCAGUGGAUACAAUGGGGUACACUCUUUUAAGAAUCCCGACCCCAUCAAAUGGUACCUUGGGUCUAGCUCUGGGGUGAUCGGAGGCAGUGAUGGAAUGUACAUUAUUCCAGUAGUUGCGCAAGUGUUCAUCAACCAUUUUAUUGUGGGCAUGGAACAUUCAAAUGUAGUUAAUACCAAAUGUGAUGUACUAUGAAAACUGGACAAUUAUUGAUGGUGAUCAUAUCGAGCAUUGAACAAUAAUUUGUGCAACUUCACGUGACAAGAAUCAGGUUUACGUCUCCUCAAUGCUUCUUUCAUGGUGAUCCUGUUACAGUGAAAAGAGGGCAGGAUAGCGUGGAGGUUAAACCCCAGAAAAUGAUGUUCGGCUCGCAACUGAAGUGAAAUGAGAAUUGUACUUUAUAAUUAAGCAUCGUGUUUGUAAACUCCAUUCUUUAUCGUACAAUGAAUGUAGGCAAAACUCUUUGCGUUGUCACAUAAGGAACUAUUUCCUAUUUGUCCAUUACUCGUAUGUUGAUUUAUUGAAUGAAAAUCAGGAAAAGAAAGCAAUGAUGAUUCGGGUUUCA